GUGCUCACUUCGGCAGCACAUAUACUAAAACUGGAACAAUACAGAGAAGAUUAGCACGGCCUCUGCGCAAGGAUGACACGCAAAUUCAUGAAACGUUCCAUAUUUUU
rnacentral:snRNA from 1 species